UGGGUAGCCUUGCCAAAGUUGACAUAGGCAUGACAUUGAUGGCAGAACCAUUAUCGAUAAGGACUUUGGCUAUGAUAUGGCUCUUGCACUUGACUGUGAUAUGCAGAGCCUUGGCAUUUCUUUUUCCCUCCAAAGAAUCUCAUCAUCACUGAAUGAAAUGUGAUUUGGCAUGACUAGAUUUCCAGCCAAGUGGUUCACAUAUUCAACAGACACGUUAUGUGCCACGUAUGCCUGAUUCAACACUUUCAGCAAGGCAUUUCGGUGUGGCUCUGAGUUCAGCAACAGUGAUAAUAAUGAGAUUCGAGCUGGCAUUUUAUUCAACUGUUCCACAACUGAAUACUCACUAUGUUUUACCAGCUUCAG
rnacentral:lncRNA from 1 species